GUGUUUUGAUGUCUGCCAAUAAAACAAGUUUUGUUCCUGUGCCCGACACUCCGCCUCCGAUUCCUUUUCUCCGGCGCUACACCAUCGAUAGUUAAUUUACUCCACGGUAAUGGGGUCGUUUGUAUACAAUGACAAACAAGCUUGUUGAAUGUGGCUUUCAACAACGCACUCGUCCCUCCGCCUUCCCCACUGACCUCUCCCGGAUAGCCUUUGUGAUAUCCCACCUGACGGGGAGAGCAGAGACUUGGGCCACAGCCGAAUGGAGCCGCGGUUCCGAUACCUGCUGCACCUGGACGUCCUUUGUGUGUGCAAUGACGCAGGUGUUUCAACACGUGUCCACGGAAUGUGAGGCCCUGAACACCAAGCCAUGAGGGACUAAGAGGAGGGAGUCACUGGCACACUCUCGUAAUCCCAUUCCUGAUCUCCCGUGUACUGACUCCUGCCUGCCCGCUGACCUGCCUCCUACGCCUGAUGUUUUUGUUACUGCUGCUCCUGUUGACUGCCUGCCUGAUCUCCGACACUGGACUGAAUACGUUUCCCGAACUGCCUCUACAUCUCCCGAGUUGUGCAUUUUGGGUCCAACCUCGUGUUCUGGCCGUGACAGUCACAUACUGUAUUUACUCAAAUUGUUAUUAAUGUAUUCAUAUAUCUGCAUUGUGAAAGGCCUGUGAACUUUUCCGUCCCUGGCAAGAUGCUGCCAUUACCAGCUGAUCAGCUGCCUGCAUGACCUCUCCUGUAAACGUUUGACACACUGCUGUUUGGUGUCAAGCUGGCCAGUUAACUGCUGGUGGCUAAGGCAAGCUACUUCCCACUAUCAUGGCACUCCUAACAUAUGCAAUAUUUUAAUUACUCCAAUAAGUUAUUGUUAAGUGUCCUUGGAUCUCUUGAAAGGUAAGAUAAAUGCGAUUGUCAUAUUCAGCAUCAUCAUCGUUAUUAUUAUUGCAGCUAAGCAUGUGUAAUACACUUCAAUAAGUCUCACAUUUACUAGGCGAAAGUAAAAGCUAGCCUUACACAAGGUAUAUAUAUGGGUGGAGGAAGGUUUAUUGAUGACAAGUUUAAAAAUUGCAAACAUCUUCUGUGUCUCUUAUCACUGUUUCAUUCUGUGUACAAUACAGUACUCUCAUUUCUGCCAUAAUGGCGAGAUACUGCGGUGUAACCAUAUCCAACAAUUUUAUCUUCUACUGGAGGGGCAUAACCUUCUUCUAGUGCUUAGGGCUGUUUUCCAGGGGUACUAGAAGGAACAUGGUACUUGAAUAACAUUUUAGUGUAUUACCGAAAGAAAAUAUGCACGUGGGCACAAAUCAGUGUUGUUUUUUUUUUUGUUUGUUUGUUUUUUAUUUUUUUGUUUGUCUUUUAGAAUGGGGAUUCACAAAUCUAUGAGGAAUUUAGAGUAUUUGUAUCCAGUACACUCUUAGAUUGCUUUCUUCCACCAUACAGGACUAAUGCACUAUUUGUGCUGAUGAAUUGUAAUUCAAGUUAAUUAAAAAAAUUUAAGGACUGGCAUUACUGUACAGUUGAUGUUUGUCCUCCUUUGUUGAUUUCUGCGGCAGGAUCUAAGAUUAAAUAUUCAAUGAUGGCUAAUAUGACUUGAAUUUUUGACUUUUGAA